CUGGCGGCACGCCUAAUACAUGCAAGUCGAACGAAGUAGCAAUACUUAGUGGCAGACGGGUGAGUAACAUGUGGGUAUCUUCCCUUUGGUGAGGAAUAACACGAGGAAACUUGUGCUAAUACCUCAUAAGUCUUUACGGAGAAAGCUUUAUGCGCCGAUGGAUGAGCCCGCACUUGAUUAGUUUGUUGGUGGGGUAAUGGCCUACCAAGACUGUGAUCAAUAGCUGAUUUGAGAGGAUGAUCAGCCACAUUGGGACUGAGACACGGCCCAAACUCCUACGGGAGGCAGCAGUAGGGAAUCUUGCACAAUGGAGGAAACUCUGAUGCAGCGAUGCCGCGUGAGUGAAGAAGGCCCUUGGGUUGUAAAGCUCUUUCGUCGGGGAAGAAAAUGACUGUACCCGAAUAAGAAGGUCCGGCUAACUUCGUGCCAGCAGCCGCGGUAAUACGAAGGGACCUAGCGUAGUUCGGAAUUACUGGGCUUAAAGAGUUCGUAGGUGGUUAAAAAAGUUGGUGGUGAAAGCCCAGAGCUUAACUCUGGAACGGCCAUCAAAACUUUUUAGCUAGAGUAUGAUAGAGGAAAGCAGAAUUUCUAGUGUAGAGGUGAAAUUCGUAGAUAUUAGAAAGAAUACCAAUUGCGAAGGCAGCUUUCUGGAUCAUUACUGACACUGAGGAACGAAAGCAUGGGUAGCGAAGAGGAUUAGAUACCCUCGUAGUCCAUGCCGUAAACGAUGUGUGUUAGAUGUUGGAAAUUUAUUUUCAGUAUCGCAGCGAAAGCAAUAAACACACCGCCUGGGGAGUACGACC
rnacentral:rRNA from 1 species